UUAAGUUCAGCGGGUAUCCCUACCUGAUUCGAGGUCAAACUGGGGGGUUCUUGCUGGACGCGAGCCCGCCGGGAGCCUUCUUGAGCGCAAUGUGCUGCGCGAGAAGCCGGCGAUGCCGCUGCCAAUGGAUUUGGGGCGAGUCCUCGCUAAAAGCGGGGACAGACGCCCAACACCAAGCGUAGCUUGAGGGUGUAAAUGAC
rnacentral:misc_RNA from 1 species